UGGGCGCGAGGGCUGCUGGGUCACGACGGCAGGUCGUGGCCGAGCCCGGUGUCUGGAACGUGGGUAUUCAUCUUCUCAUUUAAAAUCCUCUUCUGUGCACUUAACCGCUCUCAGUCGGCGGGAAAACGUACUUGACCGCGAAACCCUUCUCGCAACGCCCGCUCGCAGGGUGCCCCUCGGGCUCCCGAAGACGAGCCAGAGCGGAGGUGACGGAGACUGCGCGGCUCCUGUGUGCGCAGGCGCCGGGCCGGCGCGGGACUUGUCUGCCUCGGUUCCUUUUCCUGGACACGGGGCCGGCGACCUUCCUGCCACUGCGCUGCAACCAGGCGGCCCACGGUGCGGCCACUUCGGGUUGCUAAAUAUCUAGAUACUUCCGGCCCGCAUUGCCAGGUCCACUAGGCGUUCCCACCGUCCGGUAAUUACCGUCGCGCUGCCUGGCGGCCGAGUCUUCUGCGUGUGGCCCCCCUCACCUCCUGGCCCCGCCGUGGGAUCCGUCAAGCUAGUACUUUCCACGAGCCAAGCCCUUGGGACGGCGCCUGCCACCGGAUGAACACUCGAACUAUUUACAAGAGGUGGACAUCAGCAAUACAGAGAUCAAAUGAGAGAGGCCUCAUCAGAGGGGAGUCGAUGGAGAAAACGGUGGGCACGUUUUCCUUAUAAUCGGCUGAGCAUGGGGAAAAAAAAGUCACGAACAAAGAGAACUCAAAUAAUGCAACCUGGUGGCGUCUGAAAGAAAUGACCAACAUUUUGAUACGUUAUUAAGAAGCAAGACGAGGCGGUGACGGACCGCGGGCCGUACGUUCCCGUCGGGUAUUCUGCAUGCUACUAAACAGAAUUUAUCAAAAGAACCAUAAAAGCAUGAGAGAGAGAAGUACGUAAAAUAGCUGGAUCCCAGUGAGGUGUAACUUUGCACAGAGGGCAGUCCUACACGUUUGCGGAGAGGAAGGUGGCAACAAGCGUUACCGGUGACAACGCAGACGGUGCAUGCGACGACGACAAACGAGGAUGGGGGAGAGGAGUUAUGUGCAAAGUGCUCUUGUUCCCAAGCGACAUUCACCUGCUCGGGCUUCGUGGAACUUAAGGGUCCUGUUUAUCAUACUUGUGUUUUGAUUUUGAAAGUUAAACUAAAGCCUUCAGCGUGGCGAUGCUGCCGUGAGCAAAACGCUGUGUCAGCUCGUGUGUCAACAGUUACGCGGUGUCUUCGGGGAAGAACGCUGUCCGAUCUGAGCGUCUCCAGCAUACGCAAAAUCUCUUACUGAAACUAUCUCCAUAACGUGGUGAGACGGCCACACUACAGGUCUGUGGGAAUUCUUAACUACUCAGCUUUAAAAAAGUAAGACUUGGAAGGCCAACAUGCUUUAGUAUCAACUGUGCUCCAGUGAACCCCAUGCUUGGCUGGAUGGAGAGUAUGAGGAAAAGAAAACACUGCAGGCCGGAGCAGCACCCCCGGGGGAUGACCUCACUGGAUGUCCUGCUGGUGUCACCAGGCUGCAGGGGGACCUGGGGGCAUGACAGUGCCCGGCAAGCUGAGGAAACAAAGUGCCAGAGGAGGUGUCUCUUGUUUGCUACCAGGACUGUGUGCGGCAAGGCCAUGUCAGAACACAGCAGAGACUGCAUUUCCCAUGGAGUCCUGAUCGUGGUUCUCCUUGCCAAAAUCUCUCCCAAACCCAGAAAGCAUUUCAGGACCACGAGCAGGGACACACGAGGGAACUCUGAGACACUCCGUUUUGUGGAAAACAACAACAACAACAACAACAACAACAACAACAACAACAACAAAAACCUCUCGGUGCGAAAAGUCUGUGAAACCAAAGGUUAGUUUAAUCGCACUGUGCUAAGAGCAUAGGAAGCAUUAUUGCAUGGAGUGCCCACGAUACUCCUGCUGUUACUUCCUGCCACACUGGACAGCUGAGAAUCAGAGAAGGAUUUUGGUCUACCAAAUUACCUUACUCUGGCAAACGUGUGAGGCGUUCAUCGUAGUGGUAUGUAGAAGGUGAAACACAGCGGGUAGUCAUGGAGGAGAACGGUGACAUGGGGUCGGGUAUGAUUUGCUCAAGACACAGAACGCUAUGCAGCUGCGACACGGAAGAUGCUUAUGGUCCAAGGCACAUUAGCAAGUGGCGUGAACGGUGCAGUCGGGAGCUGUGUGCGUACACACGAAACACGCACAUGUUCACGGGCAUGUGAACACGUUGCAUAAGUGACUAAUGCAUACAAGCAGACAGUAAGACAUUUUCUCCCCUUGUCCCGUCUGCACAUCCCCUCCGCUGGACCCCUCUUACGUUCCUAGCAAAUGAGGAGAGUACAGCUUCUGGAGUCAGGUUCUGCUACUGCCUGGCCCUGUGACCCUCUGGUGAGUCUCUUAGAUUUGGUUGAAUCUCUUCUUCCUCGUCUCAAAGAUGAGGGGACAUCGGACACUUCAUUUAAUUGUAAGACGCCACAGGAAGCCAGAGUCACGGGUGCCUGUCCACAGCAAGUGUUAACGCUCUGUCUUCGCACCUCAACUGUUAACAGUCAGGUGUGUGUGAUAUGGACAUUAAA